AUGGGUUUGCUUCCAACAUAUCCAGAUGUACAAGUGCUGAUGGAACAGGUCCAAGGCCUAAAAACACAUGAUUGUCACAUUCUUUUGCAAAGAAUCUUACCUGCUGGCAUGAGAGGAUUUCGGGAUAGUGAUAUAUAUGAAGCAAUAGCUGAGUUGGGCAAGUUUUUCAGGGAACUGUGCAGCAAAACUCUUAACAGGGAUGUGCUGGCUGAAAUGAAGAAAGAAAUCCCUGUAAUUUUGUGCAAGCUUGAGAAAUUUUUCCCUCCUGCUUUCUUUGAUGUGAUGGUGCACCUUGCCGUACAUUUAUCCGAAGAGGCAUUACUCCGAGGUCCCGUACAAUAUGGGUGGAUGUACCCAGUUGAAAGGAGGUUGUAUACUUUAAAGUGGUAUGUGAGGAAUAGGGCAAGACCAGAAGGUUCAAUUGCUGAGGCAUAUAUUGCCGAUGAAUGCCUGACAUUUUGCUCCAAGUACAUGGAUGAUUUUGAAACCAUAUCUUAUCAGAAACCAAGAAAUGUAGGUUAUUCAGAUGAAGAAGCCUAUGAUGUUGACGUUUUUGGACAUGGAGUAAAUUUUACUUCAAGAUAUGAAUAUCAAUAUGUAUAUGACAAAAAAGAAUUUGAUCAAAUGAUGUGGUAUGUGUUGAACAAUUGUGGUCAAGCUCAGAAAUAUAUCGAGAUGUUCAGAGAUGAGUUAAAAAGAAAACAGGUCCCAAACAUUGAUAAAGAGCUUCAGAAAGAAUUCCAGACAUGGUUCAAGAACUAUAUCAUGAGGUUGCGGGAUGAACAUAGCGAAGAAAUAGAUGAAGAUCUCUUUUCCUUGGCAUGUGAACCUGAUCGGAGAGUCAGAAAAUACUCAUCAUGCAUAGUGAAUGGUAUUAGAUAUAGCACUGUUGACCGUGAUAGCAACAAGAGAACACAAAACAGUGGAGUCAUGGCCGAAGGUGAACAUGGCAGUAAGGUCAUAGAUUUUUAUGGAACCUUGAAAGAGAUCAUCCAGUUGGACUAUAACUCCAACUAUAACUUGGACGGCAGGUCAGUUAUUUUGUUUAAAUGUGACUGGUUUAAACUUGAUGGAAAGAGGAAGGAGCUAAAAUUGACCGGUUUUUCAAAAGCAUCAAUGUUGAAAGUUUAUGGUACAAGGAUGAUUUUCUCAUUCUGGCUACUUAGGCAAGAAAGAUCUUUUAUUUGCCAGACACAAAGUAUGGAAAAAAUUGGCAAGAUAUGCAAACAUUUGACCAUAGGCAUCUAUGUAAUAUUAGUGAAACUGAGGGUGCACCUUUUACUGGUCCUGCAUAUCAAGAGGAGUGUUGUGAUGAGGAGGGUACGAGAAUGUCGGUUUCUGCACAUACAUCUGAGAAGCCUUUGCAUAGAGACAAUGAGCAAGGCAUUAUUUUUGAAGCUGAUGUAG
rnacentral:rRNA from 1 species